rnacentral:rRNA from 1 species
CUACGGGAGGCACCAGGUUGGAAUUUUUUGCAAUGCGCGAAAGCGUGACAAAGCGAGCCAGAGUGAUUUUCAAUUUUGAAAAUCUUUUAUGAACUGUAAAAAAGUUCAUGAAUAAGGACUGGGCAAGACUAGUGCCAGCCGCCGCGGUAAUACUAGCGGUCCAAGUCGCAACCAUUAUUAUUGGGUCUAAAACAUUCGUAGCUUGCUUUGAAAGUCUCUUGUGAAAUCCUACAUCUCAAGUGUGGGGCGGGCAGGAGAUACUACUUAGCUAGAGACCGGAAGACGUGAGAAGUACGCCAGAGGUAAUGGUAAAAUAUGUUAAUCUUUGGUGGACUAACGAGAGCGAAGGCAUCUCGCGAGUACGGAUCUGACAGUGAGGGAUGAAGGCUAGGGGCGCAAAACGGAUUAGAUACCCCCGUAGUC